AUACGGAGGGUGCAAGCGUUACCCGGAAUCACUGGGCGUAAAGCGCGCGCAGGCGGCUAUUUAAGUUGGAUGUGAAAGCCUACGGCUCAACCGUAGAACUUCAUCCAAAACUAUUUAGCUAGAGUGUGGGAGAGGAAGAUGGAAUUAGUUGUGUAGGGGUAAAAUCCGUAGAGAUAACUAGGAAUACCAAAAGCGAAGGCAAUCUUCUGGAACACUACUGACGCUGAGGCGCGAAAGCGUGGGGAGCAAACGGGAUUAGAUACCCUAGUAGUCC
rnacentral:rRNA from 1 species